rfam:Erinaceus europaeus unplaced genomic scaffold scaffold00744, whole genome shotgun sequence
CCAAAGGCUCUUUUCAGAGCCACCACAUUUUCAUAAAGGGCGGCCGU